AAGAAAGAGACUGAUGGAUCAAUCCCAAUUGAUCAAGCAGGAGGGACAAUCACUUAAUGACCUCUUGCAGUCUUUAACUGAAAACCUUCUGGAAAAUGUUACAGAACUGAAUUUAUAAUGCAUCCUGAAAUAGACCGGAGUAGAAGAAAAGAAGCUAGGAAGGAAAAUAAGAGUAAACUGGCUUUCAUACACUGCCAAUGUUAGGACUGGCUUUUAGAAGCAUUUUUCAAUGCGUGUCUGCCUGGGAAAAGCAUAAUUGCAUUUGGAGGCUGAGAGUUAGACAACUUUCCAUUAGCAGUUUAUCCCAAGGCAGUACCACAGACAAGUGUCACCAGAAAGUGGUUUUUGCAUGUCUCACUGAAAGACAUGAGCUGUUGUGGUGCCCAUCCAGAAAAUACAUUUUUAAAACUUACAUGAUACAGGACCAAAGUUUCAUCUUCAGUGGUGACAGCUCUAGCAACAACAACAACAAAAAUUCCUUUAAACUAUACUGCUGGAAAAAAAAUCCAACUGCUAACUCCUGUAUUUCUUAGCUCAUCUCAGCCUAGCUUCUUCCAGACUCAGUUCUUCAGGGCAAAGAUGCUUGGCACUGACAAUUGCACAGUUUCAUAUGCAGUGUAGUGCAAAGAAAUAACAAGGAAGUCAGAUGUUUUUUUCUAGACUCUACUGCUGAUGGGUAAAGGAAGUAAAAUGAGGAUAUUAUUUAUGCUAACAAUAGAAAACUAUUGUUAAAUAUGCUUCUGACUUCUUUUCAUUAUUCAGUGAAGCUUUUAAAUUCAAAGUAGUAGAGGAAAACUGUUACAUACAACAUUUAAUGAAAGGGUGAUGAGACCAGAAGUUGCCAGGCAACUGUCUCCCAUCCUCAAGAAUCUGCUGCAAAAUCAAAACGUAUGCCUCUGAUUUUUAAUGUAAUAUUCUUCAUAAACAUGUGUGGUAAAGUCUGGGCAAUCAAUAUUAAUUACUUGCCUCUGCAGUUUGUCUGCCAAUGACAUUGAAUCAACCUCCUUUUAUAAUGUAACUUUUUACCCACUUCAUUCCAGACACUGUUGCCUUACUCCAGUUGGCCAUAGAAUAGGUAACAUUCUUCUAGAAGUCGAGAACAGUGUUAGUCAGACUUAUUAUAGCAGUGAGUGAAUUUAUGUUUUUUUGAUGUGAGAGAAAACUUUCUCAUGACAUUCAGAAUCAUAGAAAGAUUUAGGAUGGAAAAAACCCUUGAAGAUCAUCUAGUCCAGUUCCCUGCUCCAAGCAAACUAAAGAGGUCUUAAAGUCUUUGCAUGUUAUUCUUUAAAAUGCCUUUUAAAGUUUCUUAUUUUUUUAAAUUAGAGUCUAAACUGUCCUCAAACUAGUCUUCAAACUCUUAAAAUCUUUUAGAAUUCUUUAAAAGUUGCUAAGAAAACAAAUGCUAAUGCAUUCAGGAGAGUGCCAUAGGUUAGUACCUUGGCUUCCUAAAAAGUCUAUGUAUGUGGCCAUUGAAUUUGAGAAAAAAUGGGUUUCCUGUGCUUUUCAGAAACCCAUGUACUAAUACAGGCACCUAGUUCCAGAGGUUUGUUCUUGAAAAUCUUGGUAUGGUGGUGUAAUACAGAGCAAAAUUAUUCCAGCACAGCAAUUAAGAGUCAAGUUAAACACAACCUCAAAGCCAAGGUACUGUGUCAAUAACCUCAAAACACUGUGAGUUCAGUAAAAAGGAAAAAAGGAAAGCAACUUUCCUCGUAUUGGUUUGAUUCCAUAUAAAAAAAGCUGUCUUUACAAAGGCCGUUCAGAAUUACUUCAAUGACAAUCUGGAAGGGCACCAAUAGAUAUUUGUAGUAAACAGUAUUGGUUUGGUCUGCCAUGUGAGUAAAAGUCCAAAGAUAAGAUAAGGCAUGUGCCUUUUAAUAUCUGCCUUUAUUGACUCUGAAACGAUGAUACAGUUUGAAGCUCUGGAGCCUACGGAAUACUUACUCUGCUUUUUUCUGUAUAAUAAGCCUUCUAUAGAUUAUGUUUGUGUCAAGGAUCCUAUCUAGGACAAGCUGUGAUUCCUUUAUCUAUCUGUGGACUACUCUUUCUAGGAUUUACCAUCAGGUAUAAGAGACAGUUUGCACGCCUUGGAGCCACUGUCUCAGGCUUUGCAGGCAUCAAUGAAGUGGUCUCUUUUGGUUUUAGCCUUUUUUAGUGGGGAAAAAAAGGAAGGAAACAAGUUUUAAUGUUGACAAAUACAAAUUUCAUCCUGCUAAUGGAGAGGUAGGCUACCAGUGACAGAGGCAGCAGACUGUGACAGUAUUGCAAAUUGUAGGCUGGGACUGGAGUCAUAAGAGCUUGUGACUCGCAGUAAGAAUACCAUCUCCAUCUCCAGCUUGCCAGGGACUUUCCCUGUCUCCUUUCAAAAAAGAGCCUGCCUGCCUGCUGUGAGCUCUAUCUCAUUUGCUUUCACAUUACCUCAGCACAGUGACUUCCAAUCUGUUGUCUGCAGACCCCCAAGGAAAGGCACGGUGAUACUUUUAAGAGACUUACAGAAGCAAAAGCUAGCCAGUCGGCUUAAAGUUACUAAACUAAGAUGCAUGUCUCCACUGGAAAUGUUAAUAAAAACUCCUAUUGGAAAAGUCAAAGAGUUCAUAUGCUGAAAUCUAAUGACUUGUUUAACUUUGGGUUAGAAAAUUUCACUAGGACAAAAUACCAACUAAGUUAAUAAAGCCAGCUACAGUGCACCUGUGCAUAGUGUGUCUCAAUCUCAUUUAAUUUUCUACAGAAUUGAGACGCCAUUAAUUCUCUUCCUGAAGAAAAAUUGCAAGGCCCCAAAAUAGCAACCUUUUUCAGCAACAAUAUCACUGGUGUGGCAAGCCUGAAACGAUCUAGGAAAACGUGCCACUGAACAGUUUUUAUCCCUUUUCCCUGGCUGCUGUGUUGCCUGUGGAGUGUCUUGAUUUUUGUAUAGUAUAGCAUUUACAUGCUACCAUGACCAAAACCCCUUCCUGGAACAGAUUCAGUAUUGAAGGUAAUUACAGCUGUGCUACAAUCAUAGUGUAGUUUUCUCAGAGGAAAGCCGGUGACAAGAGAGGCACCUUGCUGGCACCUGUUUUAAUACAGUGAAGAGCUUCUCUUCAGUUGAAAUACAUCUGACAAAAAUUUGUCAGGAGGCAAGCUGGACCAGCCAACCGAAAAUAGCAUCACCACCGUGGUGUAUUCUAGAAGUGAAGCUUCUAUGACCCUUUACUGAAAGUUUCUCAAUACUCUUUAAAGUUCUUUUGCUGGUGUGGAAGACAAUUUAGAUGACGAUGAUGAAAGAAGCGUGGUGACAUCUAGACACUUCAUGAGUCCUGUAACUUUAAAUCUGAGAACAGCUGAGGCUGCUCUUAUUUCUUUUAAUCAUUUGGCUAUGGUCAGGCAAUUUUAAUUUCAUCACAUCAUCAUGGAGCCUUUGACACAACUGAACACAGAAGAGAUGUUUACUUAUCUACAGUAUCUUUAUGGGUGAGAUGAUAUAUAUUUUUUCCCCAUAAUGAUCCACAGGUUAUUUUCAGGGAGGAGCAACUCCAUUAUGCAAUUACUCGUUCUUUAGGGCACUAGCACAUAGGUCUCCAUCCCACCCAUGUCCUUUCAAUUUAACUGGUACUCAUGCUCUUAUGGGAAGAUAAGGUUUUCAUGUGGGACACCAAGCGUCAGUGCAUUGAUUACCGAACCUGUUUGUCAGACCCAGGUUCUGCUCUCUGCUUAUUCUCUGAACUGGCUGACCACAUUAAGGUCUUGCAUGAAAACAGUUCUGGUCAUAGCAGAUGGUGCUAGAUGAGUGAUAAUGAUAGUCUAGUCCAACAUUUCACCUAGCUGGUUUGGAACAUUUUUUUACUAACACUCACUAACAGUAGCAAUAACUACAAAAAGGACAGGAGUGAAAAAUCAGAUUGUGCAUCUUAAGAGUUCAGAAUUCAUGGCUAAAGCCACAUUACCAAUAAAGCAAAUGUUAGCUCUAGCGUUAUUUUUGCAUUACAUUGCAUAGGAUUCAUUGUAAAUGGAAGUGAUUUUUUUUCAUUUUUUCAAGGUAAAGGGCUUUAUAUUGUAAGCUGUGGUUUUGUAUGGUGUGUCAAGUGUGCAUCUAGUGUUUACAGAGAAAGUGAAAAUUAUUCUGAUGGUGAUGGGCAAUACUUGCUCUGUUUGUAUAAGCUCCUUUAAAGAUGGCUCAGGUGGAAUCCCACACAGGGAUGGGGUAAUUAUGCUUUGAUGAUGAUCAAACCUGCUUGGAGAAAAGAAACUGCAGGAGAUGGCAGCCUGAAAGUCAUGUGAGGAGCUGGCAAUAUUCAGGUCAAGCAAAGAGAAGCCAGAAACUAGGCCUUGGAAACAAUGGAAAUAACCUUUUGAGAAAUAAAUAAUGGGAAUUUUUUCCUGCAGAUCUGCCUCUGAGAUAGUGAGAAACACAGUUCAAAGCAAAGGUUCAUCCUUCGAGGACACAGCAGGCAACAAAAGAUGUAAAGCCUUUUCUUUCUAAUUGCUUUGCCUGCAAACUCACUGGUAUUUUAGUUGAUAUUAUAAUAGAAGUUGUUGUGUUUGGGUUUUCUGUUUGUUUGGUUGGUUGGGUUUUAAUAUUAUUAUUAUUUUAAAUAGCCUGUUAGUCUUCUUGGAGGACCAUGCUAUAGGCAGGUUAAUCUCCAAGCUCCAGCUGACUUGUGCUGCUUUUGUGUUGACUCAAGGAAGUUCAGUGAACCUUGUCCACUCAUUGAACAGCUAUAAAAGAGUGAAGCAGCUUGCUGGAGCUGCCAGGCAAACGGGCUGUCACCACCCCAGUGCCCUAGCAGCCGUGGUGAUGAAUGUCAUGGCUGUACAGCAUCUUCAGCUCACAAUGUGCUCUUUUCUGCCCUUCAGGUCACAACACUGAGUGCACUGGCCAAGAUUGUUACUUGGGUCUCUGGCAGUGACUCCUUUCUAGGCUGCCUAGUUGGUGGCUCAUGCAAUCUGGCCUUCCCUACAGCUAUUAAUUUACACUUCACUCAUUCUCAUCUCACUGGUUUGUAUUCCUCCUUCUCACACUUCUGAGUAAAGUUUAUCUGGAUAUGCAUAACAAUUUUUUUCCUUGUCUCCCAAACUGACACAAAAUAAUUAAUUUUCAAUUAACAGGAUAUCAUCAACAAAUAUCUCUCCACCAGUCCACAGAUCAACAGCAGCAGGUCAUGUCAGGAUACAACCCUGAAGCCAGAGCUGUUCUCAUUUCCAGGUGAUUGUUGACUUUACUAAGCAUAUUUCCCUUAUUUCUAUAUAGAUCCUGUUCACUCAGGGGAGCUAAUCGCCUGUGCCUGGUACUUAACUGAGAGCAGUGAGGUGUACACUGCUACUCUAUUCCAGCUUCAGAGGUGAUGGCACUCCUCUGAGUUAGCUCCUAAAGGACAUGCGUGAACAACAGCAGUGGGAAGACAUGCACAGAGCAGCUUUUCUGAUGGCUGUUUUCCACACCGUCUUUGGAUGAUACAAAAAGCUGACUGGCUGAGACUCUUCCAAGUAAGACUAUCUGAGUAAGAGAUACUCAAGUCUGACUAAGUGAUCAUCAAGUCUGACUCAGUGAACUGCCCAGUUUUAAUGAGAUAGGAGUGCUGUGCUGGAAUGCUUGCAGGUGGAAGGCUGUGUGCCCCAUAGCACUAUUUCCUUCGUGACCAGGACUAUCUGUCUGACCAAGAAGUGGUGGAACAGAAACCAGCCAUCAGCUGAUACUGAAAUCUGGGACCGCUGAGUCUGGUGGAACACAACCUCACCUUGCUAGGACCUGAAGGCACGCAAAUGGUGUGGUCAGUGAUAUAGAAGUUGCUGACUGGUCUCAGCACUCCCACAGCACCGCUGCUACAGAGGAAACCACCUUCACUGAUGUAGAUUGUGACAUCAGAGAGACUGCCCAACUAUGCUUCAUACAAAAUAGGUGUACUUGCAUAAAAAUAGCUGAGAGUUCAGCUAUCUUUCAGGUUCCAUUGUUGCAGUGGUUUCAGGAGUACAUUUUGAAGCAUUUUCAUCAACUCAAUUUUACAGUCACAAAACAAAGGGAAAUUCCACUCUCGUUGUCAGCUGUGUGGACCAAACACCACAGCUUGGUGUAAAAUCUGAGAACCUUGCAGCCCACCCACACAGGCAGAUUGCUGCCCCAUGAGUUAACAGGUAUUUCUUCAGUCAGCUGCUGAAUUAAAAAACCUGUAAUGUGUUUCUAAUUUCUCGAGAGACUGAGACAGAAAUACUUUUGUUCUGCCUAUUUUCCUGGGACAAAAAAAUGGAUGAGAUUUAUGUGCAGCAUAACAGAAUAAAAAACUGGGGGAUGA